GCUGGCCCAAGGAGCACAGCUGCAAGCAAUUCACUUGUGCUUCUCACAUGACCAGAGCUCCGUGGGCUCAUUUAAAAGCCAGCCUCUAAGGCUUUUAAGGUUCUAAGGUUUCUUACUGAUAAAGUGUGGUUUAUAGCCAGGGACCUUCUUUACCAGUUGGUGAGUCCACAGCUUUACAAGUCACUAUUCAGAGUGAAAACAAAGAAAUUAUCAUUGUGCGCAGUGGUUUCCCAUGAUCUUCUGAUCAAUGUACGAGGUCUCUACAUCCUGCUGCUCACAUUGCCUGGAGAAGGAAGCCAUCUCAUUAAUAACAAAGAAAGAAAAAACUGAAGACCAUUGUCUUAUUUCGUCU